AGUCGAGCGGCAGCACAAGGGAGUUUACUCCUGAGGUGGCGAGCGGCGGACGGGUGAGUAAUGCCUAGGGAUCUGCCCAGUCGAGGGGGAUAACAGUUGGAAACGACUGCUAAUACCGCAUACGCCCUACGGGGGAAAGAGGGGGACCUUCGGGCCUCUCGCGAUUGGAUGAACCUAGGUGGGAUUAGCUAGUUGGUGAGGUAAUGGCUCACCAAGGCGACGAUCCCUAGCUGUUCUGAGAGGAUGAUCAGCCACACUGGGACUGAGACACGGCCCAGACUCCUACGGGAGGCAGCAGUGGGGAAUAUUGCACAAUGGGGGAAACCCUGAUGCAGCCAUGCCGCGUGUGUGAAGAAGGCCUUCGGGUUGUAAAGCACUUUCAGUAGGGAGGAAAGGGUGAGUCUUAAUACGGCUCAUCUGUGACGUUACCUACAGAAGAAGGACCGGCUAACUCCGUGCCAGCAGCCGCGGUAAUACGGAGGGUCCGAGCGUUAAUCGGAAUUACUGGGCGUAAAGCGUGCGCAGGCGGUUUGUUAAGCGAGAUGUGAAAGCCCUGGGCUCAACCUAGGAAUAGCAUUUCGAACUGGCGAACUAGAGUCUUGUAGAGGGGGGUAGAAUUCCAGGUGUAGCGGUGAAAUGCGUAGAGAUCUGGAGGAAUACCGGUGGCGAAGGCGGCCCCCUG
rnacentral:rRNA from 1 species